AUACGGUUGGUGGGCGUGAUCAGC
rnacentral:misc_RNA from 1 species